UACGUAGGGGGCAAGCGUUGUCCGGAAUCAUUGGGCGUAAAGAGCGCGUAGGCGGUCCGGUAAGUCCGCUGUGAAAGUCAAGGGCUCAACCCUUGAAUGCCGGUGGAUACUGUCGGGCUAGAGUCCGGAAGAGGCGAGUGGAAUUCCUGGUGUAGCGGUGAAAUGCGCAGAUAUCAGGAGGAACACCGGUGGCGAAGGCGGUUCUCUGGGCAUUACCUGACGCUGAGGAGCGAAAGUGUGGGGAGCGAACAGG
rnacentral:rRNA from 1 species